AUGGCCCAGAGGACAAUUUCAUUGUGCCUAAUCCUUGGCUUACUAGCCGCGGCAGCACCUGCCAAUGCAACCAGCUUUGAUUUCUAUUACCUCAUCCUAAUGUGGCCUGGAGCAUACUGUGUGGACAGUGAGUAUGGAUGUUGCGUGCCCAAGUACGGAUACCCGGCGGAGGAUUUCUUCAUCCAGAGCUUCACGACCUUCGACUUGUCACUGAACAAAGCCAUCGUGAGAUGCAAUAGCGACAAACCAUUCGACAUUAACAAGCUGGAGCCAAUUGAAAAUAAUUUGAACCACUACUGGAGCAACAUCCAUUGCCCGCGCACCAACGGGACGAGCACCUGGAAGAGCGAGUGGCGCAGCUACGGCGUCUGCUCGGGCCUCAAGGAGGUGGACUACUUCAGGGCCGCCCUCAACCUCCGCAAGAACGCCGACGUCCUCGGCGCUCUCGCCGAGCAGGGCAUCAACCCAGACUACAGGUUGUACAGCACGGAGCACAUCAAGUGGGCGGUGAACCAGAAGCUUGGAGUGAUGCCCGGGAUGCAGUGCAGGGACGGGCCAUUCGGCAAGAAGCAGCUCUACCAGAUCUACCUCUGCGUCGACAAGAACGGCGAGACCAUCAUCGACUGCCCCAAGCUGCCCAAACUGCAUUGCCCUGAGGAGGUCCUCUUCCACCCGUUCCACACGUGGAUGCUCAACGCCACAUCGCCUGCCAAGAUCAUGUUGCCCACUGAGGCGUGA
rnacentral:rRNA from 1 species